rnacentral:tRNA from 1 species
GCGGGAAUAGCUCAAUUGGCUAGAGCGACAGCCUUCCAAGCUGUAGGUUGCGGGUUCGACCCCCGUUUCCCGCU